AGAAUCAACGCUGGCGGCGUGCCUAACACAUGCAAGUCGAACGAGAAAGUGGAGCAAUCCAUGAGUAAAGUGGCGACCGGGUGAGUAACACGUGACUAACCUACCUUCGAGUGGGGGAUAACCUCGGGAAAACCGAGGCUAAUACCGCAUAACAUCGCAAGAUCAAAGCAGCAAUGCGCUGGAAGAGGGGGUCGCGGCUGAUUAGCUAGUUGGCGGGUAAUGGCCCACAAGGCGAAGAUCGGUA
rnacentral:rRNA from 1 species